rnacentral:rRNA from 1 species
AUGAACGCUAGCGACAGGCUUAACACAUGCAAGUCGAGGGGCAGCGGGGGAUAAGCUUGCUUUUCCUGCCGGCGACCGGCGCACGGGUGAGUAACACGUAUGCAACCUGCCCCUGUCAGAGGGAUAAUCCGGAGAAAUCCGGUCUAAUAUCGCAUAAAGCGUUUGCGGGGCAUCCUGCGAGCGCCAAAGGAGUAAUCCGGACAGGGAUGGGCAUGCGGCGCAUUAGCUAGUUGGGGGGGUAACGGCCCACCAAGGCGACGAUGCGUAGGGGUUCUGAGAGGAAGGUCCCCCACAUUGGUACUGAGACACGGACCAAACUCCUACGGGAGGCAGCAGUGAGGAAUAUUGGUCAAUGGGCGGAAGCCUGAACCAGCCAAGUCGCGUGAGGGAAGACGGCCCUAAGGGUUGUAAACCUCUUUUGCCGGGGAGCAAAAGCGCCGUGCGCGGUGCUAUGAGAGUACCCGGAGAAAAAGCAUCGGCUAACUCCGUGCCAGCAGCCGCGGUAAUACGGAGGAUGCGAGCGUUAUCCGGAUUUAUUGGGUUUAAAGGGUGCGUAGGCGGACAGUUAAGUCAGCGGUCAAAACGGGCGGCUCAACCGCCUGCCGCCGUUGAAACUGGCAGUCUAGAGUGGGCGAGAAGUACGCGGAAUGCGCGGUGUAGCGGUGAAAUGCAUAGAUAUUGCGCAGAACUCCGAUUGCGAAGGCAGCGUACCGGCGCCCGACUGACGCUGAGGCACGAAAGCGUGGGGAGCAAACAGGAUUAGAUACCCUGGUAGUCCACGCAGUAAACGAUGAUAACUCGCUGUCGGCGAUACACAGUCGGCGGCUAAGCGAAAGCGAUAAGUUAUCCACCUGGGGAGUACGUUCGCAAGAAUGAAACUCAAAGGAAUUGACGGGGGCCCGCACAAGCGGAGGAACAUGUGGUUUAAUUCGAUGAUACGCGAGGAACCUUACCCGGGCUCAAACGCACGACGGCGGCACGUGAAAGCGUGCUUACCUACGGGACGUUGUGCGAGGUGCUGCAUGGUUGUCGUCAGCUCGUGUCGUGAGAUGUUGGGUUAAGUCCCGCAACGAGCGCAACCCCUAUCUUUAGUAGCCAGCAUAUAAGGUGGGCACUCUAGAGAGACUGCCAGGGAUAACCUGGAGGAAGGCGGGGAUGACGUCAAAUCAGCACGGCCCUUACGUCCGGGGCGACACACGUGUUACAAUGGCAGGGACAGAGGGAAGCCACCGGGCGACCGGGCGCGGACCCCGAAACCCUGUCUCAGUUCGGAUCGGAGUCUGCAACUCGACUCCGUGAAGCUGGAUUCGCUAGUAAUCGCGCAUCAGCCAUGGCGCGGUGAAUACGUUCCCGGGCCUUGUACACACCGCCCGUCAAGCCAUGGAAGCCGGGAGUGCCUGAAGUGCGUGACCGCAAGGAGCGCCCUAGGGUAAAACCGGUGACUGGGGCU